rnacentral:rRNA from 1 species
AGAGCGAACGCUGGCGGCAGGCCUAACACAUGCAAGUCGAGCGCCCGUAGCAAUACGGGAGCGGCAGACGGGAUAGUAACACGUGGGAACGCGCCCUUCGGUUCGGAAUAACUCAGGGAAACUUGAGCUAAUACCGGAUACGCCCUUACGGGGAAAGAUUUAUUGCCGAAGGAACGGCCCGCGUCCGAUUAGCUAGUUGGUGAGGUAAUGGCUCACCAAGGCGACGAUCGGUAGCUGGUCUGAGAGGAUGACCAGCAUCACUGGGACUGAGACACGGCCCAGACUCCUACGGGGGGCAGCAGUGAGGAAUUUUCGCAAUGGGGGAAACCCUGAACGAGCAACGCCGCGUGCAGGAAGACACUUUUCGGAGCGUAAACUGCUUUUCGUCGGGGACGAGUAAGGACGGUACCCGAGGAAUCGAGCCCCGGCUAACGUACGUGCCAGCAGCCGC